rnacentral:rRNA from 1 species
CACGUAGGGUGCGAGCGUUGUCCGGAAUUAUUGGGCGUAAAGAGCUCGUAGGCGGUGUGUCGCGUCGGCCGUGAAAACCUGCAGCUUAACUGUGGGCUUGCGGUCGAUACGGGCAUCACUGGAGUUCGGCAGGGGAGACUGGAAUUCCUGGUGUAGCGGUGAAAUGCGUAGAUAUCGAGAGGAACACCUGCGGCGAAGGCGGGUUGCUGGGCUGAUACUGACGUGAGGCGCGAAAGCCAGGGGAGCGAACGGG